rnacentral:lncRNA from 1 species
AUGGGAAGCUGCUUGCUGGGUGCUGGGGCUGGGGGACAGCGGAGGCAAAAGGGCCCCGGCCCGCCCCUUCCCCACCCGCCGGGCACUCACAUUCCUGCAGUAUCGGGUGGUGGCAGAGCCGCAUUCCUGCAGCAUCUGGGCCGGCUCAGCGGGCAGGUGCUGACACGGGGCUGUCAGGGGCGCGAGGCCCCGGCUGGACCCAACAUGGGAUUUCGUCCCAGACUCGGGUGGGCAGGGGACCCCUGUGCCGGGCGGCCGCCCCACAGGACCGUGCCCUGGGGCAAAGUGGGGCUCUGGGAAAGGGGUCUCCCUUUGCAGAGAGCAGUCCCACUGGCAGGAUCCUGCCCUUGUGCACUCAAAACCACAGCUGGAAAUCAUCAGCCUCAGGGGCAAAAUGAAAGCCGGGGACGUGUGUCCUGCUUUUGGAGGGCACUGCCUCCAUCCCCGGCUUUGUGCCCACCAUCAGGGGCAGGAGUGGGGCAGGGUGCUCUGUGCCUCCCCCCGGUGAAUGCACCCCGGCCUUUACCCGCACCAUGGCUGGGACUGGGGCUCAGGCAGGGGGAGGGGAAACAAAAAUACUUCUUGAAUGAGCCAGAGGGUAGGAGAGGGCUGGUCCCCAAGGAGCGACAGGGACAGCGGCUCUUUGGGAGCUUCUCCUGCCAGAGUCCUACCCCCGGGACAGUGCACCCAUUCAGAGCCAUCUCCCCAUCCACACACGCCUCUGACCCGUGGGCCACCCCACAGCAGCUCCUUUGGACACAAACGGACGGCUCUGAUGGCUUGGCCGCACCAUCGCGCCCUUCAGCCACUCCCUUCCCCGGCCACCGUGCCCCGGGCAGCCCCCAGCCCCGUCCCCUGCCCCACGCAUGUACCUCGCUCUGCCGCCUCUCCCCUGUGUCUGUCGGCGCCGGCACCCAGCUCCUGCUGCUUCCCCCAGCUCUCCUCCUGGGUGUCAGUGCGCAGGGACCAAAUGUUACAAAUGCCUGCAGCUGCUGUCCCCAAAAAUACCCUCUGAUGACACGCGGGGUUGAUAAGAGUGAGCGUGCUCCAUUCAGCGCCUCGCCGAGGCUGGGCUGGCUAUACCUAUGUAUAGCAGCCCAGCAGGAGCCACCCCGGAGAGCUGGGGUGCUGCAGGCUGGCUGUGCCUCUGUGCUGGCUCAGCAGCAGCGAGACACAACGGCCCUGUGGAGAGCAGGGGGUGCAGGGUGUGUGGUACGCUGGACACCAGACUGCAGUGAGACAGGACGUGUCACACAGGACAUGCUGCACAGGGAGGGGACGUACUGCACUGGAUGCUGCAUGUCACGCAGGACAUGCUGCACAGGGAGGGGACGUACUGCACUGGAUGCUGCAUGA